rnacentral:rRNA from 1 species
CACGUAGGCACCAAGCGUUGUCCGGAUUUAUUGGGCGUAAAGAGCUCGUAGGCGGUUGAGUAAGUCGGGUGUGAAAACUCUGGGCUUAACCCAGAGCCGCCACUCGAUACUGCUCUGACUUGAGUUCGGUAGGGGAGCAGGGAAUUCCUAGUGUAGCGGUGAAAUGCGCAGAUAUUAGGAGGAACACCGGUGGCGAAGGCGGGUCUCUGGGCCGAUACUGACGCUGAGGAGCGAAAGCGUGGGGGAGCGAACAGG